CAAUAGCGUAUAUUAAAGUUGUUGCAGUUAAAAAGCUCGUAGUUGGAUUUCUGGUGCGAUGGAUUAUGUCUAGGUCGAAAGAUCUUGUUCAUGGUUCGUUUUGCCCUUCUUGUCAGGAACCCGCUGAGAUUCGCGUCUUGUCGGUGGAAUGGCAUCGUUUACUGUGAAAAAAUUAGAGUGUUCAAAGCAGGCAUCGCCGUUGAAUACAUUAGCAUGGAAUAAUAAGAUAAGACUUUGGUGGUCUAUUUUGUUGGUUUGCACGCCAAAGUAAUGAUUAAUAGGGAUAGUUGGGGGUAUUCGUAUUCUAUUGCUAGAGGUGAAAUUCUUAAAUUUAUGGAAGACGAACUACUGCGAAAGCAUUUACCAAGGAUGUUUUCAUUAA
rnacentral:rRNA from 1 species